GUCUGGAUAGCUCAGUGGUCUAGAGCAGUUGCUCGGGAAGCGAAAGACUCGGGUUCGAUUCCCGAUUCAGCCA
rnacentral:tRNA from 1 species